AGAAACGCGAAAGAGAAAGAAGAAAGGAAGUAAGGGAAAAGCAAAGCAUUGGAUUGGUAUUCUAUUGCUAUUGCUUAUUACUGUUGUUAUUGCUAUUGGUGGUUCACCGUUCCUCUCUCUCUCUUUCUCUCUCUCUCUCUCUCUCUCUCUCUCUCUCUCUCUUUUCUGCCAUCUCCAACUCUGAUGCACCUUCCAUCUCUCACUUUCACCCUAAUCCAAAUCUUAAUCCUGGAUCGCUUCUCUUUUCUCCCAACCACAUUUCCCUGUCACUACCAAUUCUCACAUUCUAGGGUUACCGCGCCCUCCCAAUCAACCCAUUUCUCAACUUUACUCAUCACUUUCUAAUAAUCUAAUCCAAUUCCGCCCUCAAUUUUCGCUUAAUUCACCAGCUAGGUUAUUUAUUUAUUAUUGUUUGUGUUAGUGGAGAAUAACUUCUGCUGAUUCCCAACUCUCAGAUCUCGUUACUUGCACAUGGAUUGGGGUUUAACUAUCCCUUCCGCCGCGCUCGAUUUGGUUAGCUGUAUUGAUGCAAUGCGGCUGGAGAAGUAUUCAUGAGUUCUGAUGAGUCCUUGCUAUUGGAAUCGGAUCCGCGUCCUGUGAUUGUUCACCGCCGCGGGAAAUCGGGUUCCCGGACCUACCUCUAUGGCCAUGGUUCCUUCUCGUCUUCGGUGUUCGAGGCGGCUAUUGCUGACAUCAGCGAUUUGGACGUGAAGGAGCGAAACAAGGAGGUUUUGCCUAGCGAUAGCAGCUUCCACACUGCGUCGUUUAGUAACAGUAACAGCUCUGAUAAGUGUGCUGUUGAGUCGAAGUUCCCCUGGCAGUUUCCCUUGGAAUGCCCCACGCGCGAGAGGAGGCGCUCGGCAUCGUGGGGUGCAAUGGAACUGCAUGGUGCUGAUAACCGGAGUGUGCCGUUUGAGAUAUCCGGAGCUUCGUCUCAUGUGCAGGAUAGGUUGAAUAGUAAAUCGCAGAGGAUUAGGCACAAGAGUGUGCAGUUUGAUGAUCCUGCUUUUCAGGAGGAUGGUGCCAGGUUGAUCUAUAUUAAUGAUCCCAGGAAGACCAACGACAAGUAUGAGUUCACUGGGAAUGAGAUCCGAACUAGUAGAUACACCUUUGUUACCUUUUUGCCCAAGAAUCUUUUCAUUCAGUUUCAUAGGGUUGCGUAUCUGUAUUUCCUUGCUAUUGCAGCGCUCAAUCAACUUCCUCCACUGGCUGUGUUUGGGAGGACUGUGUCUCUUUUCCCUCUGUUGUUUGUGCUUUGUGUCACGGCUAUCAAGGAUGGCUAUGAGGAUUGGCGGCGGCACAGGUCAGAUCGCAAUGAAAACAACCGGGAGUCUCUGGUGCUUCAGUCCGGUGAUUUCCGAUCGAAGAAAUGGAAAAAAAUACAAGCCGGGGAGGUUGUUAAGAUCUUUGCUGAUGAGACAAUUCCGGCUGAUAUGGUCUUGUUGGGGACGAGUGAUCAAAGUGGGCUUGCCUAUAUUCAGACCAUGAAUUUGGAUGGAGAGUCAAAUUUGAAGACAAGGUAUGCUAGGCAGGAAACAGCUUCGGUGGUUACUUCGGAAUCUUGUGAUGUUUUUGGGGUAAUUAGGUGUGAGCAACCGAACCGAAAUAUUUAUGAGUUCACUGCCAACAUGGAGUUCAAUGGACUUAAGUUUUCCCUUAGCCAGUCAAACAUUGUUCUGCGUGGCUGCCAGCUUAAGAACACGGAUUGGAUAAUUGGUGUUGUAGUUUAUGCAGGACAGGAAACAAAAGCAAUGCUGAACAGUGCAGCUUCUCCUUCCAAGCGAAGCAGACUUGAAAGUUAUAUGAACAGGGAAACCCUUUGGUUGUCUGUUUUUCUUUUUAUCAUGUGUUUGGUUGUAGCCCUUGGGAUGUGUCUUUGGCUGGUACGCCACAAUAACCAGCUGGAUACCUUGCCUUACUACAGAAAAAGAUACUUCACCAACGGACCCGAUAAUGGAAAGAAAUACAAGUAUUAUGGGAUUCCGAUGGAAGCAUUUUUCUCCUUCUUGAGUUCUGUUAUAGUGUUUCAGAUAAUGAUACCAAUAUCUCUUUACAUCACAAUGGAGUUGGUUCGAUUGGGUCAGUCAUACUUUAUGAUUGAAGACAGGGAUAUGUAUGAUGCCAGCUCUGCGUCAAGGUUUCAGUGUAGAUCAUUAAAUAUAAACGAAGAUUUGGGUCAAAUACGCUAUAUAUUUUCGGACAAGACUGGAACACUCACAGAAAACAAAAUGGAAUUCAGGAGGGCCAGCGUACAUGGGAAGAAUUAUGGGAGCUCCUUGCAUGUGGUCGAUGAUACAGCUGCGGAUGUUACUCCUAAACGCAGAUGGAAGCUGAAAUCUGAAACUGUAGUGGAUUCUGAACUGAUGAUGAUGUUGCGGGGAAACUCCAAUGGAGAAGAAAGAGUUUCUGGUCAUGAGUUUUUUCUUACGCUGGCUGCUUGUAACACUGUAAUCCCUAUACUUGGUGAUGGUGGAUUUUCCAGUCAUGGAACAAAUGAAUUAAAAGAUGAUAUUAGAUGCAUUAAUUAUCAAGGAGAAUCUCCUGAUGAACAAGCUCUAGUUUCUGCAGCCUCUGCAUAUGGAUAUACUCUUUUUGAACGUACAUCAGGACAUAUAGUUAUUGACGUCAACGGUGAGAAACUCAGAUUGGACGUAUUGGGUCUGCAUGAGUUUGAUAGUGUGCGAAAGAGAAUGUCUGUUGUUAUUCGGUUUCCUGACAAUUCGGUAAAGGUGUUAGUCAAAGGGGCUGAUACUUCCAUGUUUAGCAUUUUGGAAAAUGGCAGUGAGAGUAACAAUAACAUAUUGCACACAACUCAUAGCCAUUUAAACGAGUAUUCUUCACAAGGUUUGCGCACUCUUGUUAUUGGCUCCAGAGAUCUUUCUGAUGCUGAACUUGAGGAGUGGCAAAGCCAUUAUGAAGAGGCAAGCACUUCGUUGACUGACAGAGCUACUAAACUAAGGCAAACAGCAGCUCUUAUAGAAAGCAAUUUAAAGUUACUUGGAGCAACUGGAAUUGAGGACAAGCUACAGGAGGGAGUACCAGAAGCCAUUGAGGCUCUUCGGCAAGCUGGAAUCAAGGUCUGGGUUCUUACUGGUGAUAAACAAGAGACAGCAAUUUCAAUUGGUCUUUCCUGCAAACUUCUUAGUGGAGAUAUGCAGCAGAUUAUUAUAAAUGGCACUUCAGAGGUUGAAUGUAGAAAUCUUCUGGCUGAUGCUAAAGCCAAAUAUGGUGUGAAAUCUUCAAGUGGAGGUCGUCGGAGUUCGAAACACAAAACCAAUGCUGGACUUGGUGACCUUGAUAUUCCCAAUGGUUUCCCCAAAUGGAAUCCUGGAAAGGAAGAGGGCACUAUUGCUCCUUUAGCUCUUAUAAUUGAUGGCAACAGUUUGGUUUAUAUUUUGGAGAAGGAACUUGAGUCAGAGCUUUUCGACCUGGCAACUUCCUGCAAGGUUGUGCUUUGCUGUCGUGUUGCACCCUUGCAAAAGGCAGGAAUUGUUGAUCUGAUCAAGAGCCGGACAGAUGAUAUGACACUGGCUAUAGGCGAUGGGGCCAAUGACGUGUCAAUGAUCCAAAUGGCUGAUGUUGGUGUAGGAAUAUGUGGACAGGAAGGGCGCCAAGCAGUGAUGGCUUCAGAUUUUGCAAUGGGACAGUUUCAGUUUUUAAAAAAAUUACUUCUGGUUCAUGGCCACUGGAAUUAUCAGCGUGUUGGCUAUUUAGUUCUGUACAACUUCUACCGCAAUGCUGUCUUUGUGUUGAUGUUAUUUUGGUAUAUAUUAUGCACGGCUUUUUCUACAACUUCUGCGUUGACAGAUUGGAGUAGUGUUUUCUAUUCUGUGAUAUACACAUCUGUUCCUACUAUUAUUGUUGGUAUUCAGGAUAAGGACUUGAGUCAUAGGACACUCUUGCAGUAUCCUAAGCUGUAUGGUUCAGGUCACAGGCAAGAAGCGUACAAUAUGCAACUAUUUUGGAUCACUAUGAUUGAUACAGUAUGGCAGAGCCUUGUUCUUUUCUACAUCCCAUUGUUCACCUAUAAGGACAGUUCAAUUGACAUAUGGAGCAUGGGCAGUUUGUGGACAAUUGCAGUUGUUAUCCUUGUAAAUGUGCACCUCGGUAUGGACAUUAACCGUUGGGUAUUAAUCACUCAUGUUGCGAUCUGGGGUUCGAUAAUCAUUACGUAUGGUUGCAUGGUGAUAUUGGAUUCUAUACCUGUCUUUCCCAAUUACUGGACUAUUUAUCAUCUGGCAAGGUCCCCUACAUAUUGGAUAACAAUUUUGCUUAUAAUUAUUGUGGCAUUGCUCCCUCGCUUUAUUUGUAAAGUUGUCUAUCAAAUUUUUUGGCCUUCGGACAUCCAGAUAGCCAGGGAAGCUGAUUUAAUGAGAAAACGACAUGCUACUUUGCGGCCAAGGCUUCAUGUUUCCAGUUAACUUGUGUUACUGUCCCGUGUCUUGUAGAAAUUACAGAAAUCUCAAUUGAAGUGGCUUCCCUUGUAUUUGUCCAUCACAAUGCUUUCUUGUGGCAGUUGGUUGCAUAAUUUACUAGAUGAAAGAUGAAGCAGAGUGGUGUGGUGUAAGACAAAUGCUGGGCAUCUAAAAUAGUAACAGAUUAUGUGGUUGGUUGGGAAGCACAAGGCCAAGGUUGGCAUAUAGCUUGCCUGGUUUUUCAAAUGCCUCGGGUCAGGACAGGAAGGUACAUAGAUGGAAGUUGGAGGUAUCUGAAUCAUCAACGAUUUGAUGUGGAUGGAAUUUUAGUGGCGACUUGUUAAUAAUGAUCCACGACCUAUAGAAAAUAGUGUGGGAGAGAAUAGAGUGUAACUAAGUGUACUAUAGUUCUGUAAAAAUCAGGCUUCAAAACGUCCUUCAAAAGGAUAAUCUCUCAGGAAAGGGCAUAAUGGAAAGAAAGAAAAGGUAAUUUUUACAAUCUCUGCAUCUUACACUCUGCUGUCUUAUGUUUCCUAGUUCCAUUUAAUUGCUACGAUUAAGGAUGCUCUUUUUUUGGCGGGAAGAAGAUGCAUCUGUGGCUGAAAUUAAUAUUUAAUUUAUUUUUAGGAAAUUAAUAAGUAGAAAAAAAUAUUUUACGUUGAA